rnacentral:lncRNA from 1 species
GAGCCGCCGGGACGCGGUUGUGGAGGCCCCAGGGCUGCCGGGCAGUAGCGAUUUCCGGGACGGCCGGGCGGCCAAGUUCGGUGACCUUUCUAUGGCGUGUGCGGUCGCCGAGGCCGCCCCGCGUCUGACAUCCCCGGGGCAGUGGGCUCUCCUCGUGUGGCCUGGCGCGUGAUUGCUGGCCCACCCCACUCUGCCAGGCCUCAGUUCCUAGUCUCUGAGGGUCUGGGCUUCUGCAGGGACGUAGGAGUUACAAAAUGCCCCCUCCGCCCAUGUCCCCCCAUUUUUUGAGGUCUUGACCUCUACCUCCCAGAGCUCACGCUGCCUCCUCCAGGAAGCUUGUCCCGGAGCCCUGGGACGAGACUCGAGCCCCACCCCUGACCCCCGUGCUCUCGGGCCCACAAACAGGUCCCUGGGCCUUGACGCAUGGCCAUCUGGGGACCCCUGUCCCAGAACGCAGAGCCUGGGCAGAGCCCCCUCCCCAGCCAUGGCCCCAGGUUCGUUGGGGGUCCUGAGGCUGGUAAAGGCCGCCUUUCGUCAGGCUGAGACCGUGAACUUGGCACGGGCCAUCACCACCGACAGCUGACUAGUAGGAGAUGCAAAGGGAGAGGACCCUGCCGAGGCCUGAGGUCCCCGUGAGGCGCGGGGGCUGGGGAGCCGAGAAGCCGACCUUGAUGGAAGGCCGACCUUGAUUAAUUAAGGUUUUGCUGUAAGAACAGAUGCUACUCACGCGCCAUCUCCCUGUUCCGGCCCCUCCCACCACGCCCUGGAGGCAUUUCGCUGUGUCUGUCCCAUCUUCCACACUGCCGCUGCGGGCAUGGUCCCACCGUAGGGACUCGGUGCCAGGUUGUGCACAUCUAAACUUCAUGCCUGGUGACUCCAUUUCCAAGGCUGAGGGGUGGUGGCAAUGGGGUGCCCUGGGGUUGUGGAGGUGGAGUUUUGCUCACCUCUGGGAUUCAGGAAGGUGCCCUGGGCAUGAGGCCAAGGAGAGAAGUCAGACGUGAGCCGCUGAACUGGGGACAGACUUGACUUUCUUCUUCUUGUUUUGUGUUUUGCAGAGACUGGGUCUUGCUGUGUUGCUCAGGCUGCUAGGCUGGCCUUGAACCCCUGAGCUCAAGCGAUAGCCUCCCAAAUUGCUAGGAUUACAGGCCUGAGCCACCCUACCUGGCCCUCCUUGCCAUUUUUUAAAAAUUUAAUUUUUGUGGGUACAUACUAGGUGUAUAUAUUUACGGUGUACAUGAGAUUACAUGAGAUAUCUUGAUACAGGCAUGCAAUGCAUAAUAACCACAUCAGGGUACCCAACAGGUCAAGUUUUUUUUUUUUUUUUUUUUUUUUUUGAGAUGGAGUCUUUUUUUGUUGCCCGGGCUGGAGUGCAAUGGUGCGAUCUCUGCUCACUGAAGCCUCCAUCUCCUGGGUUCAGGUGAUUCUCCUGCCUCAGCCUCCUGAGCAGCUGGGAUCACAGGCGUGCGCCACCACGCCCAGCUCAUUUUUGUAUUUUUAGUAGAGAAACGUUUUCACCGUGUUGGCCAGACUGGUCUCGAGUUUCUGACCUCAGAGUGAUCCACCUGCCUCAGCCUCCCAGAGUGCUGGGAUUACAGACGUGAGCCAUCGCGCCCAGCCAGUUCAAGCAUUUAUCUUUUGCGUCCUUGACAUUCUUGAGGGACAUGUUUGAGGUCUUUGGGGCUCUCCAGAUUUGUGUCCACAACAAACAUUGAUUAUCCACUGAAAAUGCAAUCACAUUCAACCGGAAAUAGCCCCUUGGAGGAUCCUUAGGUCAGUGGGGGGAGCUGAGUGGGCUCCUGCCUGUCUGUCAGCAUUUCAUCCCCAGCAUCCUGUGUCCAUGGGCUGCACCGGCAUGGAGGGGGUUCCCACUGGGUGGCACCGGCAGCAGAGGCAGCCUCACACCUCACGCACUAUCCGAGCUUCAGAAUGCGUCUCUGUAUGCUGGUGGGGCCAGAAGCCCGGCUGCCUCUGUGCCUGGCUGCCAUGCUCAGUCUUUCUUGGGCCUGGGCUGGGGACCUGGCUGGGGAAACCAAGAGUAUUUCAGAGCUGUGGUUUGGGACGUGGAUAUCCCAUGGAGCGCCCGAGCCAGAUGUGCCAGGGCCAGAGCGCACCUCCACUCCUGAGGAGUCCCUUUGCCCUCCACUGUAAAGCGCUGAAAUGUGGUGGCCUGGGCUCCCAGCUGACGGCACGGGAAGCACUGUAUUUGUCGGCCCAGGGAUGAAGGUGGCACAAUUCAGAGUAGAGCCCGGUUCUGCCUUGGUGUUGGCUCUUGCCUGUGGGGCUGGCACCACGUCCCCUGCUCCGAAUGCCUGCACCUGCUUGGGUGUGUUUGUGUGUGGUCUGCAAUUGGGAUUCCGCACCCCCUCAGCCCCACCCACCAGUUUUUAUUUUAUCCUUAAGACACAUGUUUGAAAGUGACCUAAUCAACGAGGUGUCAUAAAUGAAAUAGCGACAAGAGUGCUCAGGGGAUGGCAUAAGGCUGAGGGCCCCAAGAGGGAGGCUCCCAGCAACCCUGUGGAAAUCACCCAGCAGCCCAUGGCCCCCGACACCUGGUUCUCCCAGAUGACAACUGCUGUGGCCUGAGGGCCCACUGUGUGCCAGGCAAGGCUGUGGGUGUUUGACACACAGGCUCCUGCUCCUGAGAACUCCAGGAAGUAGGGUAGCUAUCUCCACUUUACAGGGGAAGAGACUGAGGCACAGAGGCGAAGUGAUUUGCCCAAGCUCAGCUGGCGGGUAAGAGGCUGAGAUGCCAUCUCAGCUGGGUCUGUGUCCAGGGGCUGUGCUGCCCCUUGGGCCAAAAAGGAAAGACAGAGAAUUAGACAAGACCACCGAGGUAGUGAGCAGAGUUGGGGAGAGGGGGAAAGAAGGACAAGUCAUCAGUUCAGGCUGACAAAUCAGGGAGGCCUCUCAGAGCAGGUGGCACUUGGUCUUGACAUGAGGGUUUGGAAAGAGUUGGGGCAGGCAUGCAGGAUGAGAGGCCUGGGGAUACAGGGAGGGAGUGGAGACCAGCGUGGAGUCAGGGUUGGAGGAGUGCAUUCAGGUGGACUAGCCAGAUGCAGCCGUGCAGGCACGGAGGGCUGGUCUGGGCCAUGCCUUACGGGGGCAGGCUAUAGUGGGCUAUAGUGGGAGACAGGAGAGGCCGCAGUGGGGUGGACAUGCACGAGGCUGCGGCAUGGCCUUUCUGUGCACAGCUUCACUGAGAAGUCUGUGGACAGUCUCACUUAUUCAUCUGCAGGCAGUUUAUUUCUGUUUCUUCUUGGAAGCUCUAGGGAUUUCCUUUCCCUCCCUCCCUCCCUCCCUCCCUCCCUUCCUUCCUUCCCUCCCUCGUUUUCUUUUUUUGAGACAGGAUCUCACUCUGUUGCCCAGGCUGGAGUGCAGUGGCACGAUCACGACUCACUGAAGCCUUGGCCUCCCAGGCUCAGGUGAUCCUCCCACCUUGGCCUCCCAAGUAGCUGGGACUAUAGGCAUGAGCCACCAGGCCAACUAUUUUAUUUUAUUUUAUUUUUUGUAGAGACAGGGUUUCUCCAUGUUGUCCAGGUUGGUCUCAAACUCCUGAGCUCAAGUGAUCCUCCCACCUCAGCCUCCCAAAGCGCUGGGAUUGCAGGCAUGAGCCACCGUGCUCUAUGGCUUUGGGAUUUUUGUUUUCAUCUCCUUACUCAAAAAUUUCUCUACAAUGUUUCUAGAUGGUAACUUUGGGUUUUGCUGUUAUUGUUUCAAGUUGUGCUCAGUUCUCUUUCUUUCUUCUUUUUUUUUUUUUUGGACACAGAGUCUUGCUCUCUCGCCAGGCUGGAGUGCAGUGGUGCAAUCUCAGCUCACUGCAACCUCCGCCUCCUGGGUUCAAAUGAUUCUCCUGCUUCAGCCUCCUGAGUAGCUGGGAUUACAGGCUCCUGCCACCUCGCCCAGCUAGUUUUUACAUUUUCACCAUGUUGGCCAGGCUGGUCUUGAACUCCUGACCUCAAGUGAUCCAACUGCCUGGGCCUCCCAAAGUGCUGGGAUUACAGGUGUGAGCCACUGUGCCCAGCCUAUGCUCACUUUUCAAUUAAACUGCACACAUCUUAAGAUUAUACCUGUGUAACAAGUAUAGUAGCUAUGAGAUCCAUCAUGUUUUAAAAUGGGUUUUAUUAUGAUUCUGGCAUAGUGCGACCGACAGAGCAGGACUCGACUGCCAUUGGAAAGAAUUUGUUACUUACAGUUCCCAAGAGGAGAGGGCACACCUUGCCACACACGGCCACCUGGGGCGCACCAGGCCAGGCUGGAGGGCAGGGGAGUGAGGGGAAAUGUGGGAAAGCCCUUCUUGAGGUUUCCACGGGAAGGAAUGGGUGAGGCAGGGUGAGCAGGCUUGGGAUUGGUAGGUUUGAAUCAUUUCAGGAGGCUGGGGGUGUAGAGCUGUCUAGACUGCCUGGUACUGACCCUCCGGUGAUUAGGGCAGGGGAAUACUGGACGUGACUGUGACAGGCCAAUGGAGGGGAUAGUGGGGUAUGGGCUAGGAUUGGCUAGCUUGCAUCCGAAAGGCUUGCUCCUAAGCUGGUCAUUUGCAAUCUCUAGGAAUUGGCUAGCCCUAGGAGGGGCAGUCCCUCCAGGGUCAGCAAAGCCCCAAGAUGUCACAGCAUCACAAUUACAGAAAAGAAAAAGGCAUGGCGAAUACAACUGGCCCUGUGAUGCGCUGACAUCGUAUUAAGGAAACCUUGGGGUGAUGAUAGCAGAGACUGAUAGAGAGUAAGGCAUAGAUUAGCGUAAACAGCAUGGAACAUUUCAAUGUGAGAGUGGGAAGGGGUGGCACAAGGAGACGUAUGAGGUGUCCUCAUGGUCUGGCUUGUAACCAAGUUUCCCAUUUACAUGGCAUAACCCAAGAAGAGAGAUCUGAAAUUUCCAAGGUCUCUAACAGUAUCUUGGUGGAGUUGUAAAGUGUGUUAAAAGCAUAAGAUAUUUUGUUUCAACAAUAUAUCUUAGAGAUUAGACAAAUCCCCCUUUAAACACAGGAAAGGGUAAUAGGAAAGGUUUUUGUUUAUUUGUUUGUUUGGGUUUUUUUUUUUGAGACAGAGUCUUGCUCUGUCACCCAGGCUGGAGUGCAAUGGUGCGAUUUCCACUUACUGCAACCUCCGCCUCCUGGGUACAAGCAGUUUCCUGCGUCAGCCUCCCAAAUAGCUGGAAUUACAGGUGCCUGCCACCAUGACUGGCUAAUUUUUUUUUUUUUUUUGCAGGUGGAGUCUCGCUCUGUCGCCCAGGCUGGAGUGCAGUGGCAUGAUCUCAGCUCACUGCAACCUCUGCCUCCCGGGUUCAAGCAAUUCUCCUGCCUCAGCCUCCUGAGUAGCUGGGACUACAGGUGCAUGCUGCCACACCUGGCUAAAUUUUUGUAUUUUAGCAGAGAUGGGGUUUCACCAUGUUGCCAAGGCUGGUCUUGAACUCCUGAGCUCAGGUGAUCCACCUGCCUCGGCCUCCCAAAGUGCUGGGAUUACAGGCAUAAGCCACCGUGCCCAGCCAUUUUUUUGGUAUUUUUAGUAGAGCUGGGGUUUCACCAUGUUGGCCAGGCUCUUCUCGAACUCCUGACCUUAGGUGAUCCACCCGCCUCGGCCUCCCAAAAUGCUGGGAUUACAGGUGUGAGCCACCAUGCCCAGCCCUCUGGUUUUGAUUUAAGUUUGGGUCUCUGUGAGGCAAGAGUCCCAGAGUCCUUGACCCUCAAAGGGACAACUCAGCCAGUGGCACCAUAGUUUGUAACAAAUAUGAAGAUGCGGCCCUGUGUCAGUCAGGCAGCCAGUACUAAGGUGACUGCCUGGAGUUUGGCCAAUUGUGUUGACCCUUGAGUCCUGUCCUUCACUGGGGACAUUCUGACUGAGAGAUGGAAAGCAGCCAUCAUCCACUGAGCUUCCUCAUUCUUACAAUGGUUGGCAGUGUGGUUCCUACCAUCUGUGUUCACUCAGCUAAUCCCAGGGGCUCUCCAGGUAGCCACGAGGUCUGAGAGAAGGUGAGUUCCUUCAGCACCUACAAGGGAGUUGGGAGGAUUUCCUCCUGCAGGAGGAAUACGCCAGAGGGCUCAGGUUUGGUUCCUUUGCGUCUUAUAAAGGCCUUGGUAGCCACACCAAGUUUGUGGGGGUGCUGCUGCCAUGACCCAAAGCAAAAUGGGCAGCUGGGUAUAGCGCAGUGGUGCGACCACGGCUCACCGCAGUCUCGACCUCUCAGGCACAAGCGAUCCUCCCACCUCAGCUUCCCCAGUAGCUGGGACUGCAGGCAUGUGCCAUCGCGCUCAGCCCAGCAAUUUUGUUAAGAGAAGCGGUGUCUUGCAUUAUCAAACCUUGAGCAACUAAUGGCCAUGCUAGGUGGUCCAGAGACUGCAGGGGGCCUGCGAGGGGUUGCCAAAGCCCAUCCACAGUGCAGGAGUCUCCGAGGGCUCUAACAGGAGUGCCUGCUGAUUUUUACUUGAACGGAUUUAGAGCCUUUUGUGUGAGGGAGUCCUGCUUCACGUGGGCCACCGUAUAAGUAGCAGCAUCAGUAGCAUAAGUAAAAAUUUGUAAAUGAUGAAUGUAUUGCCAUCAGAACCCAAAGAGAACUAAAAGAUGUUGGACUUGGAUGUCCAACAUGUUUUGCCAUCAGUGUCAUGCCAACAUCUCUUCUCAUCAAUGCCAUGCCAACAUCUUCUUCCCAUCAGUGUCAUGCCAACAUCUCUUCCAAUCAAUGUCAUGCCAACAUCUCUUCCCAUCAAUGUCAUGUCAACAUCUCUUCCCAUCAAUGUCAUGCCAACAUCUUCCCAUCAAUGUCAUGCCAACAUCUUCCCAUCAAUAUCAUGCCAACAUCUUUUGCCACGUCCAACGUCUUUUGCUAUCAGUGUCAUGCCAGGCCAGUGCCCCUGGAGCAGGUGGAUGUAGGGAAGUAUUGUCUGCAUAACAGUGUGCCCUGGCAGAGCUGUGGGGGUCCCCCAGGGCAGCCUGGUCCAGCUGCAGUGUGUCCCUCUGGAGGCAGAGGCAAACUGUGGCUGAAAGCCUGUUGAAACAGGCAUCAAAUAUAAUGUAGUAGCCAAAGCUGUCAGCGCAAAAUACUUCAUGGUUGUUGACUGGGGUGGAGUUAAUUUUAAUGCCUUUGGGCCGGGCGCGGUGGCUCACGCCUGUAAUCCCAGCACUUUGAGAGGCUGAGGCAGGCAGGCGGAUCACGAGGUCAGGAGAUCGAGUCCAUCCUGGCUAACACGGUGAAACCCCAUCUCUACUAAAAAUACAAAAAAUUAGCCUGGCGUGGUGGCGGGCGCCUGUAGUCCCAGCUACUCGGGAUGCUGAGGUAGGAGAAUGGUGUGACCCCGGGAGGCGGAGCUUGCAGUGAGCCGAGAUCGCGCCACUGCACUCCAGCCUGGGCGACAGAGCGAGACUCUGUCUCAAAAUAGUAAUAAUAAUAAUUUUAAUGCCUUUGGCUGUUGGGUGUGGGGGCCUUAGCGGGUGGGACCACAGCCUGAAGAUUGUAGAAAUCUACCACCGGGAGCCCUUUGUUUCUCCUGGGUUCAAGAACAGGUGAAAGUAGACUGUUAAACAGAGCAGCAAUGGGGACAAUCACUGCCUUAUUAGUUAGGCUUUAGAUAAUAAGCAUCACUCCCUGAGGGCCUAUUUUAACUUAUAUUGAACCAAAUUAACUAUGUAAUUAAUUAACUUAGUUUUUGAGACAAGACCUUGCUCUGUCUCCCAUGCUGAGUGCAGUGGCGUGAUCUUGGCUCACUGCAGCCUCAACCUCCUAGGCUCAAGCGAUUUUCCCUUCUCAGCCUCCCAAGUAUCUGGGACCACUGGUGUGCACCACCAUACCUGGCUAAUUUUUAAAUUUUUUUUGUAGAGACGGUGUCUUACUAUGUUGCCCAGGCUGGUCUUGAAUUCCUGGGCUCAAGCAAUCCUCCCGCCUCGGCCUCUCAAAGUGCUGGGAUUACAGGUGUGAGCCACCUCACCCGGCCCAAAUUAAAUUUCAACUGGAGGUCCACGGGGUCCCAUUUUAUUGAGCAAAUCUGUAAGCACUUAACUUUAAUUGUAAAGUAAGUACUUUAAUUGUAAAGUAAGUGCUUAAAAUUUAAAAUUAAAGACUUACUUUAAUUUUAUUAUUCAUUGUGUUAGAGCAUCUAUACCCAGUGUGUGAUAUUUUAAGGCAACGGGUACUAUAACUACAGGAAAUUUAGGCAGGGCUGCCAUUACACUUAGGCAUAUCUAUUUUCCCUCUAUUUUAUAUUAAGUUACCUCCAUAUUAUAAGGGGGGUACAAUGUUUAAAUUGAGUUGGGGGCCAGGUGCACUGGCUCAUAUAGUAUCAGUGCUUUAUAGGUAUCAUAUAAUCUCAGUGCUUUGGGAGGCUGAGUCAGGAGAAUUGCUUGAGGCCAGGAGUUUGAGACCAGCCUGGAUGACAUAAUGAGAUCCAAUCUCUACAAAAUAAAUAAAUAAAUAAACAAAAUAAAUAAAAUAAAAUAAAAUUAGCCUAGCUGUGGUGGUGCAUACCUGUAGUCCUAGCUGCUUGGGAGGCUGAAGUGGAAGGAUCACUUGAGUCCAAGAGUUUAAGGCUGCAAUGAGCUAUGAUCAUGCCACUACACCGUAGCCUGGGCAACAGAGUGAGACUUCAUCUCGAAAAAAUUGAAACACUAACAAAUAAAUAAAUAAAAUAAAUUUAAUAGGACCUUCAGGUAUAACUAUAAUUUGAACCACAGUAUAGAUUAAGUCCAUGAAGAUUUGUUAAUCGGUGCAUUUUAGCAAAUGCUAAAGUUAACUUACAGCCUAUUUUGUUUAGAGGCACAAAAGCCAGUCAGUGCCCUUUUAAUCCUUUUAUGUGAAUCCUUUUGGUAUAUGCAUUUUGUCAUAUAUUUGUUAU